rnacentral:rRNA from 1 species
GAGUUUGAUCAUGGCUCAGGACGAACGCUGGCGGCGUGCCUAAUACAUGCAAGUCGAGCGAGGGUUUUUAAGACCCUAGCGGCGGACGGGUGAGUAACACGUAGGCAACCUGCCUCUCAGACCGGGAUAACAUAGGGAAACUUAUGCUAAUACCGGAUAGGUUUUUGGAUUGCAUGAUCCGAAAAGAAAAGAUGGCUUUUUGCUAUCACUGGGAGAUGGGCCUGCGGCGCAUUAGCUAGUUGGUGGGGUAACGGCCUACCAAGGCGACGAUGCGUAGCCGACCUGAGAGGGUGACCGGCCACACUGGGACUGAGACACGGCCCAGACUCCUACGGGAGGCAGCAGUAGGGAAUUUCCACAAUGGACGAAAGUCUGAUGGAGCAACGCCGCGUCGACGA